GAUGAAGAACGUAGCGAAAUGCGAUAAGUAAUGUGAAUUGCAGAAUUCAGUGAAUCAUCGAAUCUUUGAACGCACAUUGCGCCCGCUAGUAUUCUGGCGGGCAUGCCUGUCCGAGCGUCAUUUCAACCCUCAAGCCCCCGGGCUUGGUGUUGGGGAUCGGCGAGCCUCCGCGCCCGCCGUCCCCUAAAUCUAGUGGCGGUCUCGCUGUAGCUUCCUCUGCGUAGUAGCACACCUCGCACUGGGAAACAGCGCGGCCACGCCGUUAAACCCCCAACUUCUGAACGUUUGACCUCGGAUCAGGUAGGAAUACCCGCUGAACUUAAGCAUAUCUAAGCGGAGGA
rnacentral:misc_RNA from 1 species